rnacentral:lncRNA from 1 species
GGAUUCUAGACAGAUUGUUCCCUUACAGUCAAUUAUGGUAGCUACAAUUUUCACCUACUCAAAUGUUGUCCCUUACUCCUUCUUUGGGUGAUAGAAUCCCUCUUUCUUUUGUUUUCUUUUUUUUCCUGAGGAAGAUUUGUCCUGAGCUAACAUCUGCUGCCAAUCUUCCUCUUUUUGUAUGUGGGCUGCCUCCACAGCAUGGCCAAUGACAGAUAAGUGAACCAUGCCCCUGAACCGAACCUAGGCCGCUGAAGCAGAGUGAGCCGAGUUAACCACUAGGCCACCGAGGCUGGCCCAGAAUCCCUCUUCCAUAUGGGAACCCCAUUAUUUUGCGUGUUUCAGCUACAACUAAAUGGACAUUCAUUAACCAGCAGAAGAUUCCCUGCACAGCACAACAGGACAUCUGAGAGAUCCAUGCAGCCAUGCAUCUGAAGCUCCCUGUCUGGCGACGCCGUGUCUGCAGACCCGAGAGGACGCCAUGGCGCGAGCGGUCCCCGUGAAGCUGGUGCCUCAGGGCUGCGUGAGGCCUUCCCAGAACACGGUGGCCUUUUAUCCUGAGGGCCCAGGGGAGCCCCUGAAGGACUCUAAUCAGUCUCCUGUUUUUUCUUUUCACCCCACGGUGCUGGCUGGACCUCCGGUAUGAUGCUGAAAGAGGUAAGGGCCUGUUUGUCUUGUUCC